UAAUACCGGCGCCCCAAGUGGUAGUCGCUUUUAUUGGGCCUAAAACGUCCGUAGCCGGUCUGGUACAUUCGUGGGUAAAUCAACCAGCUCAACUGGUUGAAUUCUGCGAGCACGGCCAGACUUGGGACCGGGAGAGGUGUGGGGUACUCUCAGGGUAGGGGUAAAAUCCUGUCAUCCUGAGGGGACCACCUGUUGCGAAGGCGCCACACUAGAACGGAUCCGACGGUCAGGGACGAAGCCUAGGGGCACGAACCGGAUUAGAUACCCGGGUAGUCCUAGGUGUAAACGCUGUGGACUUGAUGUUGGGGGCGCUCCGAGCGCACUCAGUGUCGAAGCGAAGGUGAUAAGUCCACUGCCUGGGGAGUACGGUCGCAAGGCUG
rnacentral:rRNA from 1 species